UGGAUAGUGAAGAUCCACUGAUGCAUAAUCCAACACUUGAUCCGAGGCCGGCUUUUGCCGUGCGAAUGAUGCGUGAACUUUGCAUCUGAAUCCAU
rnacentral:snoRNA from 1 species